GUUGAGUGUAAGAUAGACGAUUUAUUACUCGCGACUCGAUCAUAAUGCUCGACAUACGUAUAUAAUUACGUAUACGUAAGUAGUGAGUCUCGUACGAAGACGAAAGUUUUCUUUUCAAAAAAUCCAAAAAUGGUGGACGCGGAAACGGUCGCGCUGACCAUCGCCGUGUGCUUUGUGACUUUUUUGGUCGUCAUCGCCGGGCAACUCCUCUACAUCGGUCUGCUGCUCCGCAACGACGAGGUGAUCAUAAGGGUGAACAUAUUCUGGAGGAAUCGCAUGAUUCGGCCAGGAAGUUAGCAACAACUUCCGAGAGAAACGUUCCCUGCACCGACGAUGCACGCCAAUUCAUUAACGCACACGCCUCGACUGCAAGCACACUCGCACGCAUAUACUCAAACGACGAAAGCUCAAAAAGGAUGUAUUAAUUUCAAGCGCAACACUGGUAUAGAAGUAGAAGCUUCAUCGUCGUCGAGGCCCAAACGAGUCCUUCAUCUUCCAAUAUUGAGUUUCAUCAAGCGAGCGUGCCAAGCAUCAUCGAAAAUUAAAGCGGCCGACUUUGCCGGGAGAACUCGUUCCUCCGCGGCUGCUGCGGCUGCUCUGCACGAGGCUGACGUCGUUUAUGCGUCGUGUGCCUUAAAAUCAAGACACGUUUAUUCACAACUACUCAGCCUGCGGGGGACUGGCGGUUUUUCUUUUCUUAUACCGCAAACUUUCUUCAUUAGUAUAAUCAACCGCGUCGACGUAGAAAAAGCACUGUGUGUUAUAUAAGACAUCGAAUUAGCGUGCGAGUAUAAAUCGCGAUCGAAGCACAUCUGAACUUUUGCAUCGUGGAUGCAUAUAUAUUUCGAAUUUUCUCAAUGAGCGAGUCGAGAACUUGCAAAUAUAAAUAUCCCAACUGCAUUGUGCAGAGUAAGUUUCAAAUUGACUUUGAUCGGAUCAAAGUAGACAAGAUAAGUAGACAAGAUAAGAAAUUUGGCUUACUAUUGCGAUAUAAAUGAAGCAAAAAGAUGUAAUUAUACCGGUUUUAAUGAUAUUAACCGUUGACAAUGAAUUGUUGCGCGAAAAAAAAGUUAAAAUUUUAAGAAAAAUUCUAGUUUUACGUAAAAACUCAGUAAUGGUAGAAUUAUCAUUUUUGAUGUUAUUUUACUAAUAUUUAUUUUGAUUGGCUAAUUUUUAUAUAUUGUUAAUAUAAAUUAUUAACUAUAAUUAUAAUUGUAUCUUCAUAAUUAGAUAAUUGAGUUGUGAAAAAUUAUGCGCCGCGUAAUUAGUGAUAUCAAACGAAAAAGUAAAAACGUGUGCACUGUUAUAUUUGAAUUGCGUAUAUUAGAGCAGAUGAGGGAUGAUAAUAUUUAAACUCAUUUUUAACCGUACAUAAAGAAUCUCGAAAUCUGAUAAUUAUUUUUGUAGAGCUAAAAUUUUAAUAAAAAAUAUAAUUAUGUAAGACCUCGUGAUAAUCAAAGUAA